rnacentral:tRNA from 1 species
GGUAAUAUGGCUGAGCAAGCACUAGACUGUAAAUCUAGAGACAGGGGUUGAAUCCCCUUGUUACC